AGCUUUGUGCAAUGGCAAUAUCAUAGCCAGUGAGGUUUACCUGAGGCACGAUUAUUGCUAAUUAAAAGAAGGACAUUUUAAAAUCUAUCUCC
rnacentral:snRNA from 1 species